rnacentral:rRNA from 1 species
UACAGAGGCCUCGAGCGUUAGGCGGAAUCACUGGGCUUAAAGCGUGUGGAGGCGGAUUGGUAAGUACCUUGUGAAAUCCCACAGCUUAACUGUGGAACUGCUCGGUAUACUGCUGAUCUUGAGCCACUCAGGGGCUACCGGAACAAAUGGUGGAGCGGUGAAAUGCGUAGAUAUCAUUUGGAACGCCAAUGGUGAAAACAGGUAGCUGGGGGUGUGCUGACGCUGAGACACGAAAGCCAGGGGAGCAAACGGG